GGAUUCUCUCUUGCAUUUCACUCUGCACUUCGAAGGAAGUUGGAUAAAUUGACUCAGGAAAGGGCAGAAUGAACUUGAUAUUGUGACUGUACAUUUCAGAGAGGCCCCAAAGAGCAAAUAUUCAGAUCACAGCAUUCACUCCCGGAAUAAGCAUAUUCGAAAACCCUUUCUUUGUCAAGCACGAUACGUGGAGGGAGACUCAUUCUGUUUCAGAAAGCUGAGAGUUAAGU
rnacentral:lncRNA from 1 species